CCUACGGGUGGCAGCAGUGGGGAAUAUUGCACAAUGGGGGAAACCCUGAUGCAGCGACGCCGCGUGAGUGAAGAAGUAUUUCGGUAUGUAAAGCUCUAUCAGCAGGGAAGAAGAAAGACGGUACCUGACUAAGAAGCCCCGGCUAACUACGUGCCAGCAGCCGCGGUAAUACGUAGGGGGCAAGCGUUAUCCGGAUUUACUGGGUGUAAAGGGAGCGUAGACGGCUGUGCAAGUCUGAAGUGAAAGCCCAGGGCUCAACCCUGGGACUGCUUUGGAAACUGUGGAGCUUGAGUACUGGAGAGGCAGACGGAAUGCCUAGUGUAGCGGUGAAAUGCGUAGAUAUUAGGAGGAACACCAGUGGCGAAGGCGGUCUGCUGGACAGCAACUGACGCUGAGGCGCGAAAGCGUGGGGAGCAAACAGGAUUAGAUACCCCAGUAGUC
rnacentral:rRNA from 1 species